GAUGAACGCUGGCGGCGUGCCUAAUACAUGCAAGUCGAGCGAACCGAUGAGGAGCUUGCUCCUCUGACGUUAGCGGCGGACGGGUGAGUAACACGUGGUUAACCUACCUAUCAGACUGGGAUAACUUCGGGAAAUCGGAGCUACUACCGGAUAAUAUAUUGAACCUCAUGGUUCACUAGUGAAAGACGGUUUUGCUGUCACUUAUAGAUGGCUCCGCGCCGCAUUAGCUAGUUGGUAAGGUAACGGCUUACCAAGGCAACGAUGCGUAGCCGACCUGAGAGGGUGAUCGGCCAGACUGGAAGUGAGACACGGUACAGACUCCUACGGGGGGCAACAGUAGGGAAUCUUACGCGAUGGGCGAGAGCCUGACGGAGCAACGCCGCGUGAGUGAUGAAGGUCUUCGGAUCGUAAAACUCUGUUAUUAGGGAAGAACAAAUGUGUAAGUAACUAUGCACGUAUUGACGGUACCUAAUGAGAAAGCCACGGCUAACUACGUG
rnacentral:rRNA from 1 species